rnacentral:rRNA from 1 species
GAAGAAAAAAAUGACGGUACCUGAGGAAUAAGCAUCGGCUAACUCCGUGCCAGCAGCCGCGGUAAUACGGAGGAUGCAAGCGUUAUCCGGAAUGAUUGGGCGUAAAGGGUCCGCAGGUGGCUAUGUAAGUCUGCUGUUAAAGAACCUAGCUUAACUAGGUAAAAGCAGUGGAAACUACAAGGCUAGAGUGCGUUCGGGGUAGAGGGAAUUCCUGGUGUAGCGGUGAAAUGCGUAGAUAUCAGGAAGAACACCAGUGGCGAAGGCGCUCUACUAGGCCGCAACUGACACUGAGGGACGAAAGCUAGGGGAGCGAAUGGGAUUAGAUACCCCAGUAGUCCUAGCCGUAAACGAUGGAUACUAGGCGUGGCUUGUAUCGACCCAAGCCGUGCCGGAGCUAACGCGUUAAGUAUCCCGCCUGGGGAGUACGCACGCAAGUGUGAAACUCAAAGGAAUUGACGGGGGCCCGCACAAGCGGUGGAGUAUGUGGUUUAAUUCGAUGCAACGCGAAGAACCUUACCAAGACUUGACAUGUCGCGGAUCUUCUUGAAAGGGAAGAGUGCCUUCGGGAGCGCGAACACAGGUGGUGCAUGGCUGUCGUCAGCUCGUGUCGUGAGAUGUUGGGUUAAGUCCCGCAACGAGCGCAACCCUCGUUUUUAGUUGCCAGCAUUAAGUUGGGCACUCUAGAGAGACUGCCGGUGACAAACCGGAGGAAGGUGGGGAUGACGUCAAGUCAGCAUGCCCCUUACGUCUUGGGCUACACACGUACUACAAUGCUACGGACAAAGGGUAGCUACACAGCAAUGUGAUGCCAAUCUCAGAAACCGUAGCUCAGUUCAGAUCGCAGGCUGCAACUCGCCUGCGUGAAGUCGGAAUCGCUAGUAAUUGCAGGUCAGCAUACUGCAGUGAAUUCGUUCCCGGGCCUUGUACACACCGCCCGUCACACCAUGGAAGCUGGUCACGCCCGAAGUCGUUACCCCAACUGU